rnacentral:RNase_P_RNA from 1 species
UUGAAGCGGCCCAGAAGGUCGCCUGCUUCUUUGCGAAACAGGAGGAAAGUCCGAGCUCCAUCGGGCGCGGUGCCAGUUAACGGCUGGCGGGAGUGAUUCCGGGAAAGUGCCACAGAAAGUAAACCGCCACAUCGCUUUUGGCCAUGUGGUAAGGGUGAAAGGGUGAGGUAAGAGCUCACCGGAGUCUUGGUAACAAGGCUCGCAUGGUAAACCCCACCAGGAGCAAGACGAAAUAGGGAAGCGUUUGAGGAUGGCCCAUCCAAGUUUCCGGGUGACGUUGCUUGAGCCCUUUGGUGACAAAGGGCCUAGAUGAAUGACCUUCACUCAAGCCAAGGUAACAAGGCUUGAGGACAGGACUCGGCUUAUCGGCCCUUCAACCGC